rnacentral:lncRNA from 1 species
CUCGGGUCCCCAGCCAUCGGCGCUCUCCCGGGGCCCUCUGACCUCGCUCCUUAAAGGAGGAGGGUCCGUGGCAACGGUCCUCCUCGGCCAGGCGCUCUCGGGACGCGGGGGUGAGGAGUGAGCGCCGUGGCCCACCCUACUCUCCGAGCGGGGACGGAGUGGGCGACACCGCGCGCCCGGCUGCACGCAGGCUCUGCGCGGCUCGAGGCGGCCCUACAGGGGGCGAGGAGGAACCCCGGAGACUCGGCGGAGAGAGCAGAGACGGAGCUCACCAAGGGGCUUGCCGCCGCAGAGCGCGGGAGCCGGCACUCGGGGUACUUAACCGAAACUAGCAAUCCCAGGCGGUACAAGGCCCUCCAUCGUAGGCAAAGCACUACCUGAAUGUAGAUUUGGGCCAUACGUUGGAAAAUAAGACAUGAGAGUAUGCUCCGAUCAACUUUUACUGUUCACUGGACAACUAUUUUGGGAAUUUGCAGACCUAUAAAGCCCAUCUAUAAAUCUCAAGCAUGUCCACUUUCAGAGAAGAGAAAUGCUGACAACCAUUUAGUCUCUGAGGACAACACUUUUAAAGGACUCCAUCAUAGGACUGGAGAGAGAUUGGAUGUCAGAGUGAUUGAUGUGCUCCUACUGGAAGAAGGCAAACAUCCAUAUGUGAACUGCCUGUGGGGUUUCCAAGGAAAGGAACGGCAGGCAGCCUCUAUGAGCUUAAAGAAGAUAACUGGGACUUUAGUCCUAUAACCUCAAGGAACAGUAUUCUGUGAACCAUCUGAGAAGCUUGGAAGAGGACCCCAAACUCCAAAUAAGAAGCUCAGUGUGUCUGACACCUUGACUGCAGGCUUGGGAGGUCCUGAGCAGAAGAUCCAGUUCAACAGUGCCUGGACUCCUGAUCCACAAAAACUGAUAACAAAUAUUUAUUGUUUUAAGAUGCUAAGUUUGUAGUCAUUUUUUAUACAGCAACAGAAAACUAAACACACACAUAAACAGUUAUAAGUGCUCACUGUAUAUGAGGCUUUUCAUUAAUAAUCUAUAUUUUAUAAUAGAAUUAGAAUAUAGAUCUGUGAAGCUGAAGACACUCAAUCCUUGCUAGAUUUAAAUCAGGAAAAUCAGCUGAGAAUCAUUCCUUGAUAGAACCUGGAAAACAAGACCCUAUGAGAGACCCUGGGAAUUACAUUAAAUUCACUGUGGUUCCCAGUGUCACUGAAGAGGUUUUCCUUUCAUAGUCAGGUAGUCACCAUACUGUUAAGCAUUUGAACACAUGGGCAACUUCCAGAAUAGUUAUGACAUUGAUAUACCAAUCUCCAAAAUUCCUAGAAUACCAUGUUUUCAUGGUUGACCUUCAAAUCAGUCAGUUCUUUGUAACAUUGAGCCAUAAAGAUAGGGCAAAUACUUAAUGUUUUACAUAUAUUCAGAGAUUGACCCUCAAAAUACAGCCCAGAGAAACUCAAAAGAAUUAACUCUAUUUCUUCAAAUUGUGUGACGCCACCAAGGCCAGAUGACUUCAGCAUUGGGAAGGCAAUAUCCAGCUGUCAUCUUCUUGAUCCUCAUAUGCUACUACUAGCAUCUAGCAUUUACUGAGCAGAUAGUUUUAUUGUCCAGUUUUUAAAGAUAAGAAAAUUGAGGUAUUAGGAAAGUUAAGUUGGUUGCCUAGGGAAACACGAAGAUAUAGCCCAGAUUCACUCCCAGGCAGGCAGAUGCCAGUGUCUGCUCUCUUUACCACCGAAAUAUCCUGCUACAUGUACAAUUUCAAUAAAUAUCUGGACUUACUGGAACAAAACAAAUCAACAACAUUCUUAUUUUCUUUCUUCAGUUUAGAUUAAAUAAUUUAAAUGUCUUCUUAAGAAGCUACAGUUUUUUGAGGCACAGAGGGAUAGGAGGGUAGGUCCUACCAGUUGAGUCACUCAGCCCUAUAGUUG